rnacentral:rRNA from 1 species
CGGAGGGUGCGAGCGUUGUCCGGAAUCACUGGGCGUAAAGGGCGCGUAGGCGGCCUGAUAAGUAGGGGGUGAAAUCCUGCGGCUUAACCGCAGGGCUGCCUUCUAAACUGUCAGGCUAGAGCACAGUAGAGGCAGGUGGAAUUCCCGGUGUAGCGGUGGAAUGCGUAGAGAUCGGGAAGAACAUCAGUGGCGAAGGCGGCCUGCUGGGCUGUUGCUGACGCUGAGGCGCGACAGCGUGGGGAGCAAACAGGAUUAGAUACCCUGGUAGUCCACGCCGUAAACGAUGGGCACUAGGCGUCGGGGGGAGCGACCCUCCCGGUGCCGUCGCUAACGCAGUAAGUGCCCCGCCUGGGGGAGUACGGCCGCAAGGCUG